GACGAACGCUGGCGGCGUGCUUAACACAUGCAAGUCGAACGGUGAAAGCGGAGCUUGCUCCGCUGGAUCAGUGGCGAACGGGUGAGUAACACGUGGGCAACCUGCCCCAGACUUCGGGAUAACUCCUCGAAAGAGGUGCUAAUACCGGAUACGAAGCCCCCAGGCAUCUGGGGGUUUGGAAAGUUUUUCGGUCUGGGAUGGGCCCGCGGCCUAUCAGCUUGUUGGUGAGGUAACGGCUCACCAAGGCGACGAAGGGUAGCCGGCCUGAGAGGGCGACCGGCCACACUGGGACUGAGACACGGCCCAGACUCCUACGGGAGGCAGCAGUGGGGAAUAUUGCGUAAUGGGCGAAAGCCUGACGCAGCAACGCCGCGUGAGGGAUGACGGCCUUCGGGUUGUAAACCUCUUUCAGCAGGGAAGAAGCGAAAGUGACGGUACCUGCAGAAGAAGCACCGGCUAACUACGUGCCAGCCGCCGCAGUAA
rnacentral:rRNA from 1 species